GAUGAACGCUGGCGGCGUGCCUAAUACAUGCAAGUCGAGCGAACAGACGAGGAGCUUGCUCCUCUGACGUUAGCGGCGGACGGGUGAGUAACACGUGGAUAACCUACCUAUAAGACUGGGAUAACUUCGGGAAACCGGAGCUAAUACCGGAUAAUAUAUUGAACCGCAUGGUUCAAUAGUGAAAGACGGUUUUGCUGUCACUUAUAGAUGGAUCCGCGCCGCAUUAGCUAGUUGGUCAGGUAACGGCUUACCAAGGCAACUAUGCGUAGACGACCUGAGAGAGUGAUAGGCCACACUGGAACUGAGACACGGACAAGACGCCUAAGGGAGGCAGCAGUAGGGAAUCGUACGCAAUGGGCGAAAGCAUGACGGAGCAACGCCGCGUGAGUGAUGAAGGUCUUCGGAGCGUAAAACUCGGUUAUUAGGGAAGAACAAAUGUGUAAGUAACUAUGCACGUCUUGACGGUAACUAAUCAGAAAGCCACGGCUAACUACGUG
rnacentral:rRNA from 1 species